CGCAGCGAAAGCGAGUCUGAAUAGGGCGCUAAGUUCGACGUAUGACGACCCGAAACCAGGUGAUCUAUCCAUGAGCAGGAUGAAGGUUGGGUAACACCAACUGGAGGUCCGAACCGGUGACUGUUGAAAAAGCCUCGGAUGACUUGUGGAUAGGGGUGAAAGGCCAAUCAAACCUGGACAUAGCUGGUUCUCCGCGAAAUCUAUUUAGGUAGAGCGUCCGACGAAUACCCUGGGGGGUAGAGCACUGGAUGGAUGCGGGCUGCGCGAGCGGUACCAAUUCUAACCAAACUCCGAAUACCCAGGAGUACUAUCGGGCAGACACACGGCGGGUGCUAACGUCCGUCGUGAAAAGGGAAACAACCCUAACCAUCAUCUAAGGCUACCCUAAAAUUGGCUAAGUGGGAAACGAGUAGGGAAGGACUAAAACAGUCAGGAUGUUGGCUUAGAAGCAGCCAUCAAUUUAAAAGAAAGCGUAAUAGCUCACUGAUCGAGUCGUCCUGCGCGGAAGA
rnacentral:rRNA from 1 species